GAGAACGGUUUUAGAACAUUGCUGUGCGUGUAAUUUCAAUAAAUAUGACGUUAUUAUAUAGAUUAUUGGCAAAAGCAAAUGCCAUGAGGGCAAAAGUUUCCGGCCUUUUUUUGACGAAAUGUGUGCAUUUUGUCAACUGUAUUACAUUUAUAUCUUCACAGUGUGACACCCAAGACAUAUGAGAAAUGUUUUAGAGGAGAUUGGCUUAGCUUGUACUGCUCUGUCUGUGAUAUCAAUACACAUCCGUAAGAUACAUGUUUCAUUUAAUUUAUUUAUUUGUCUUUAAGGUCCU